UACGUAGGGGGCAAGCGUUGUCCGGAAUUAUUGGGCGUAAAGCGCGUGUAGGCGGCUCGGUAAGUCUGCUGUGAAAGUCCAAGGCUCAACCUUGGAAUGCCGGUGGAUACUGUCGAGCUCGAGUCCGGAAGAGGCGAGUGGAAUUCCGGGUGGAGCGGUGAAAUGCGUAGAGAUCCGGAGGAACACCGACGGCGUAGGCAGCGCCCUGGCCGUUUCCUGACGCUGAAGCACGAAAGCUGGGGGAGCAAACAGG
rnacentral:rRNA from 1 species